ACCGAGAUUGAAUAUGGAAUUACUAGGUGAUCGAGAAGAGCCUAGGAAGGAUUUAUAGCGGUUGAGUGUGUUAGAAUCGAGUAGUCAUUUCUUGGAAAGAUUUGAGAAGCUUAGAAUGGAUGUUAAACUUAGAGAACCAUUAGUGUUGUAUAACCAAGGAAAAGAAGUGAGUUCUCAUAGUAGAUGAGAAUGGAAUUAAGAGAU
rnacentral:lncRNA from 1 species